GUUAAAGAAACCUGCUAGCCACACUGCAUUGGGGAGGGAGAAAUCGGUCGUCCAGGACUCCAGCUCCUAAGUUUUAGGAUAAAUUGAUGCACCCUGACAGGUUAUCCAGUACGGUUGUGGGAAGGAGAUGCCAGAGCCCUCCGAGUGAUGGAUUGCAGGACCCUGAACAGUGAUGAAAGGGUUGAAUCAUGACAACCAAACUACAGGAUACCGAAACGAGAAAGAAAUGCACACCUUUGCACAAGAACAAUAUUUAAGGGCACACUUACCCAGUGCCUCUACAUCCUUCAGUGGGUCAACUCCAGGUGAAAGGAUAAAGAACAUGGGAGUUGAGGAGCUG